GGAAGGGGUGUAUUUAUUAGAUAAAAAAUCAAUGCUCUUCUGAGCUCAUUGAUGAUUCAUAAUAACUUUUCGAAUCGCAUGACUUCGUGUCGGCGAUGGUUCAUUCAAAUUUCUGCCCUAUCAACUUUCGAUGGUAGGAUAGUGGCCUACCAUGGUUUCAACGGGUAACGGGGAAUAAGGGUUCGAUUCCGGAGAGGGAGCCUGAGAAACGGCUACCACAUCCAAGGAAGGCAGCAGGCGCGCAAAUUACCCAAUCCUAAUUCAGGGAGGUAGUGACAAUAAAUAACGAUACAGGGCCCAUUUGGGUCUUGUAAUUGGAAUGAGUACAAAGUAAAUACCUUAACGAGGAACAAUUGGAGGGCAAGUCUGGUGCCAGCAGCC
rnacentral:rRNA from 1 species